rnacentral:rRNA from 1 species
AUUGGACGCUGGCGGCAUGCUUUACACAUGCAAGUCGAACGGCAGCGCGGGCUUCGGCCUGGCGGCGAGUGGCGAACGGGUGAGUAAUGCGUCGGAGCGCACCGAGUAAUGGGGGAUAACGCCGCGAAAGCUGUGCUAAUACCGCAUACGCUCUGAGGAGGAAAGCAGGGGAUCGUAAGACCUUGCGUUAUUCGAGCGGCCGACGUCUGAUUAGCUAGUUGGGGGGGUAAAGGCUCACCAAGGCUUCGAUCAGUAGCGGGUCUGAGAGGAUGAUCCGCCACACUGGGACUGAGACACGGCCCAGACUCCUACGGGAGGCAGCAGUGGGGAAUUUUGGACAAUGGGCGCAAGCCUGAUCCAGCCAUGCCGCGUGUCUGAAGAAGGCCUUCGGGUUGUAAAGGACUUUUGUCAGGGAGCAAAUGCCGGUGGCUAAUAUCCACUGGAGCUGAGAGUACCUGAAGAAUAAGCACCGGCUAACUACGUGCCAGCAGCCGCCGUAAUAC